UACGUAGGGGGCAAGCGUUAUCCGGAUUUACUGGGUGUAAAGGGAGCGUAGACGGCAAGGCAAGUCUGAAGUGAAAGCCCGGUGCUUAACGCCGGGACUGCUUUGAAAACUGUUUGGCUGGAGUGCCGGAGAGGUAAGCGGAAUUCCUAGUGUAGCGGUGAAAUGCGUAGAUAUUAGGAAGAACACCAGUGGCGAAGGCGGCUUACUGGACGGUAACUGACGUUGAGGCUCGAAAGCGUGGGGAGCAAACAGG
rnacentral:rRNA from 1 species